UUAUUCUUCGUUAACUCAUUGCAUUAAUUUGUAAUCCAUGUAUUACAUACAGAGCGCAGAGACUGUGUAGGAGAAAUAACGUCUGAACAUGAAGCAAACAACUUUAGUCGUGGUUUGUGUCCUGAUUGCAAAAGGUGACUUCCUCCCGGCCAUUGGAUUUAGUGCACGUCUUUCCCGAGAUGUCCACCUUGGAGACGGACAGGCCGUAAAAUACGACCGAGUGAUUACUAAUUAUGGAAACGGAUACAACAAGUGGACUGGUCACUUCACAGCGCCUAGAAAAGGACUGUACUUAUUUUCCUGUUCCAUUAUGGCCUUAGAUGAAAAUCACAUGCAUAUUGAGAUAGUCAAAAACGGAAGAAGAAUAUCAACUGUAUAUUCCAAUGAAUCUAAAUAUGAUCAAAGUUCACAGACUGUUGUACUAUUUCUAAAGAGGAGCGAUUAUGUUUGGACAAGGCAAAUCUACUCAGGACGAUAUUUACAUGAAAAUCAUUUAGGAUACAACAUGUUUACUGGUGUUCUGAUAUCUGAGAAUGUUUAAAAUGUUCAUGGUAUACUUUCUAACACAUAAGGACAUGCAAUGAAGUAUUGAGAUUUACAACCAAGAUUUUGUUUUUCAAAUUUCAAGAAUGCAUUUUCAUUGAAAUAGAAAUUAAAGUAUCAAGAAGUGAUGAAUUUAAUCAAAGGCAUUACUAUUUGUUUAUGUACUGGUAUUGCAGCAUUAGAAAAAAGUUCUGAUAUCGAACAAAAAUUUUGAUGAUUCCAUUUCGGGUAUUUGUCCAAUUUCUACCCGUUUUGUCCAAAAAAAAAAAUGUAAAACCUGUCACACAAUAGGAAUGCAUUUCUGUGUAACCUCAGAGGACAGAUACGAUCAAUUUCGUUUAACGUACAUGGAAGCGCAUCUUCCUACUUAAUUAAAACUUGCAUUUCACUUCCUGUAUGUGAUAUUUUAUUCCGUGCUACCUUAUACUAUUUUAACGUUCAAUCUUAAUCCUAAAUUUCAUAUCGCUACAUGACAUCCUUAAUUCCAUGUCGCGUUGUUAUAUUUCAAUUAUCCAUUUGUUUUCGUCUUGCUUCAUUCUUAAAUCUUUGAUCACAAUAUGUAUGACAUGAAUAUUUCUAUCUCGACUUUUUGCUUCUCUGCACUUGUUACAUUCUGAAUUAAAACUUGAAUUUUACAACCUGCCAUUUAAAAUCUUAUCGAGAUUGCAUCCAUUGUUACGUUUUCGUCCUUUUUGUUAAUCGCAUUAUGCUUUAUCCUUAGGUCUAAGUUUUUGUCACUUUAACGUAAAGUUACCAACGUCUCAGAUUGAAGAAUUCUCAGUAGGACGCAACACAAACUAUAUUUCACAGACUGUAAAACAUCAGUAUUACUACAACAACCUUUUAGCAUUGCUCAUAAAAAUCAAAUGUCGAUGAAUUUCAAUUGAAAGAACUUGGAUAUGUGAGAUACUGAAUGUGUUGAUGACCAUUUAAAGAUGUUACUGAGAGAUUUUGCUUGAUUUGAAAAACUACAAAGACCAAAAAUGAUAUUAUGAAUUUGUAUUUAUUGAUUAAUCAUAUAAAAGGAAAUAAAUUGUAACCUUUUAAAUAUGAUCGAGCAUAUACUGUAGUUAACAUGAAUUCGGAUGGUAAAAAUCAUCGAUUUGAUAUGAGAAAUACUAAGUUUCUCGGGCGAAAACUUUGAACAUUGCAUUUAGUAUGCGGGAAAAUCCUUUUAGCCGUGGCAUGAGUUACCUGUCCUUGUUUGGAAAAGUAUCUAUUCAGGAUUAUCAGCUGAAUCUUAUCACCUAUCUCUUGUUUCUUCCAUAGUGUGUUGGUAUAUGUGAACGUAUUUGAAUCAACAUUUAUCUGGAGUAAACAAUGUUUUCAACACUUUUUUGUGAAAGAUUAUGAUUAAAUUAAUCAAGUUACCAAACUGAAAUCUGGAUGAAAACAGGAAAUGAAAGUUAUUCUUCUUGUCACUGUUAAAUAAUUUCUGAAGACGGCAGUACCUGAGAAACUGAAUUUUGAUUCCUUUAAGCCUCAGGUAUGAACUUUUUAAAAUGAUAGGGCGCAAUACCAUUUUCAUUAUCAUAAGUGUUAUCGAUUGACUCCGACACCAGAUAUAUACCAAUUCCAGGACUCGAAUUUUGACUCACUAGGUACUGUCAGGCUUUUGGGGGGUUAUGCAUUUUCUUCUAUGAAAGGAAGGAACAACUGCAACACAACUGUUCAUUCUAUUUUCUGACGUGUAUUUUGAUUGAUUGAUUGUAUCUUGCUAAAAGUCUCGCUCAAGAAUUUUGCACUCAUAUGGAGACGUUACCAAUACCGGUGAAGGGCUUCAAAUUUAGGCCUAUACUCGGCGCUUACGGCCAUUGAUCAGUGAGGGAUCUUUAUCGUGCCACACCUACUGAAACACGGGACCUCGGUUUCUGCGGUCUCAUCCGAAGGACCGCCCCAAUUAGUCGCCUCUUACGACAAGCAAGGGGGUACUGAGGAUCUAUUCUAACCCGGAUCCCCACAGGAUACGUGUAUUUUGACAUUACUAAACAACAUGAACUACAUUGUUAGUCAAAACAAUUUCUAAAUCUGUUUAAAGAAGACAUACCUCGUAAAUAGUGAAGGCCCGUCAUUUACCCCCCCCCCCCCCACACACACACACUUAUUUUUACCUGGUAUUUGUUGAAAGCAAAUACGCAAAUCUAAAUAGCACAGCAGAGAAAAUAAACAAAGACCUUUAAAAAAUUGUUUUGCAUUGAAGCAAGUGCAUUUUUUGUUUAUAUGUAAUGUAGUGGUCAAAAAUGAAUUUGUUUUUGUUCCAAUUAUUGCGAUGCUUUUGAUUGCCAAACCUUGAAAUCCUUGUGUAAUAAACAUUGAUGUAC